rnacentral:rRNA from 1 species
UGGGGAAUAUUGCACAAUGGGCGCAAGCCUGAUGCAGCAACGCCGCGUGAACGAUGAAGGUCUUCGGAUCGUAAAGUUCUGUUGCAGGGGAAGAUAAUGACGGUACCCUGUGAGGAAGCCCCGGCUAACUACGUGCCAGCAGCCGCGGUAAUACGUAGGUGGCUAGCGUUAUCCGGAUUUACUGGGCGUAAAGGGUGCGUAGGUGGUCUUUCAAGUCGGUGGUUAAAGGCUACGGCUCAACCGUAGUUAGCCUCCGAAACUGGAAGACUUGAGUGCAGGAGAGGAAAGUGGAAUUCCCAGUGUAGCGGUGAAAUGCGUAGAUAUUGGGAGGAACACCAGUAGCGAAGGCGGCUUUCUGGACUGCAACUGACACUGAGGCACGAAAGCGUGGGUAGCAAACAGG